rnacentral:rRNA from 1 species
UUUACGGAGAGUUUGAUCCUGGCUCAGGACGAACGCUGGCGGCGUGCUUAACACAUGCAAGUGGAGCGACGAACCAGGCUUCGGCCUGGGGCAAAGCCGCGAACGGGUGAGUAACACGUGGGUAAUCUGCCCCGAUGACUGGGACAACCCGGGGAAACCCGGGCUAAUACCGGAUGAACUCCCGUCACACCAGUGGCGAGAGGAAAGGUAGCUUCGGCCUCCGCAUCGGGAUGAGCCCGCGGCCCAUUAGCUUGUUGGUGGGGUAAAGGCCUACC